rnacentral:misc_RNA from 1 species
GCAGAAAUACUUCUGUGGCCAUGGGGCCGCAGGUUGUCUGGCGAGGAGAGUCGCGCCCUCACCCGCUUAAACGUGAAGAAAAGCUAGCGGGCACUGCCUGGAACGUGGUACGACUCGUAGAAUUAACUUUUUACCGUCGGUGCAGUACCUUGCAGGGCCCUGCCUUUAACCCUCGGGAAGUAGUAACAGCAUUCUGGUCCCUGGUGUGCAAACACCUGCGAACCGCUUGCGCGUUUGCCCGACGAUAA